rnacentral:snRNA from 1 species
UCUGUUCUUGUGGUAGGUUCUCCGCCCACCCCCCUGAGGGACUGUGUAGUGUCUCUGAUAUGUCCUCCAUAGGAGGUCUAUAUUGAGCAGAUUCUUUUUGGUAUUGGGUGGUGGAACCGGAGCGUGCUCCAUCCACUCCAUGCAUUGACCUGGUAUUGCAGUGCUUCCAGGACCGGUGC